rnacentral:rRNA from 1 species
GAAGAACCACAGGGAUUGCCUCAGUAACGGCGAGUGAAGCGGCAACAGCUCAAAUUUGAAAUCUGGCUCUUUUAGAGUCCGAGUUGUAAUUUGUAGAAGAUGCUUCGGGUGCGGUCCUGGUCUAAGUUCCUUGGAAGAGGACGUCACAGAGGGUGAGAAUCCCGUAUGUGACCAGGUGCCCGCGCCCAUGUGAAGCUCUUUCGACGAGUCGAGUUGUUUGGGAAUGCAGCUCUAAAUGGGUGGUAUAUUUCAUCUAAAGCUAAAUAUUGGCCAGAGACCGAUAGCGCACAAGUAGAGUGAUCGAAAGAUGAAAAGCACUUUGGAAAGAGAGUUAAACAGUACGUGAAAUUGUUGAAAGGGAAGCGCUUGCAAUCAGACUUGCGCGCCGUCGAUCAUCCUAGGUUCUCCUGGGUGCACUCGGCGGCGUUCAGGCCAGCAUCGGUUCCGGUGGUGGGAUAAAGGCCUUGGGAAUGUAGCUCCUCUCGGGGAGUGUUAUAGCCCUCGGUGCAAUGCCACCUACUAGGACCGAGGACCGCGCUUCGGCUAGGAUGCUGGCGUAAUGGUUGUAAGCGACCCGUCUUGAAACACGGACCAAGGAGUCUAACAUCUAUGCGAGUGUUUGGGUGUCAAACCCAUACGCGGAAUGAAAGUGAACGGAGCUAAGAACCCUUCAGGGUGCAUUAGCGACCGAUCCUGAUGUCUUCGGACGGAUUUGAGUACGAGCAUAGCUGUUGGGACCCGAAAGAUGGUGAACUAUGCCUGAAUAGGGUGAAGCCAGAGGAAACUCUGGUGGAGGCUCGCAGCGGUUCUGACGUGCAAAUCGAUCGUCAAAUUUGGGCAUAGGGGCGAAAGACUAAUCGAACCAUU